rnacentral:rRNA from 1 species
UACUGGGCGUAAAGAGCUCGUAGGUGGUUUGUCGCGUUGUUCGUGAAAUCUCACGGCUUAACUGUGAGCGUGCGGGCGAUACGGGCAGACUAGAGUACUGCAGGGGAGACUGGAAUUCCUGGUGUAGCGGUGGAAUGCGCAGAUAUCAGGAGGAACACCGGUGGCGAAGGCGGGUCUCUGGGCAGUAACUGACGCUGAGGAGCGAAAGCGUGGGGAGCGAACAGGAUUAGAUACCCUGGUAGUCCACGCCGUAAACGGUGGGUACUAGGUGUGGGUUUCCUUCCUUGGGAUCCGUGCCGUAGCUAACGCAUUAAGUACCCCGCCUGGGGAGUACGGCCGCAAGGCUAAAACUCAAAGGAAUUGACGGGGGCCCGCACAAGCGGCGGAGCAUGUGGAUUAAUUCGAUGCAACGCGAAGAACCUUACCUGGGUUUGACAUGCACAGGACGCGUCUAGAGAUAGGCGUUCCCUUGUGGCCUGUGUGCAGGUGGUGCAUGGCUGUCG